rnacentral:rRNA from 1 species
UACGUAGGGACCGAGCGUUGUCCGGAUUCAUUGGGCGUAAAGAGCUCGUAGGCGGCUGCUCAAGUCGAAUGUGAAACUCGAGGCUUAACCUCGAGCUGUCGGCGGAAACCAUCUGGCUAGAGUCCGGAAGAGGAGAAUGGAAUUCCCGGUGUAGCGGUGAAAUGCGCAGAUAUCGGGAAGAACACCCGUGGCGAAGGCGGUUCUCUGGCAAUGUUCUGACGCUGAGGAGCGAAAGCGUGGGGAGCAAACGGG